GUGCUUGCUUCAGCAGCACAUAUACUAAAACUGAAAUGAUACAGAGAAGAUUAGCAUGGCCCCUGUGCAAGGAUUACAUGCAAAUUUGUGAAGUGUUCUGUAUUUCU
ensembl:snRNA U6 U6 spliceosomal RNA